CGCAGACGCUACUCGCUUUCUCAAAAGGCCGGUAACUGAGGUUGCUCAGUGCGCAGGGGAUUCAUUAUUGGUUUAUAUAGAAGCUAUUGAUUUUUAUUAGCACGAAACGACCAAGCCGGGUGCAAACUUCACAGAUCAGCACAGCCUUUAUUCAGCAGUGGAGUUGUGCAUCUGGUGGACCCACUUUUCUCAUGGAAAAUGAGCCACUGGCCAAAGGAGGAAUCUGUGCUUAUUAUAUAUGUUACACUGAGUGAUGACUUGAUUUUUGACAGAGCAUGUCAGUUUGGGCACUCAGGAAACAGGUAUAGAUGGACACAGCACAAUGCUGGUGCUGAGGAUCGAAC